AUUGAACGCUGGCGGCAGGCCUAACACAUGCAAGUCGAACGCGUGGCGGACGGGUGAGUAAUGUCUGGGACACUGCCCGAUGGCGGGGGAUACCUCCUGGAAACGGUAGCUAUUACCGCAUACCAUCGGAUGUGCCCAGAUGGGAUUGGCUAGUAGUUGGGGUAAUGGCUCACCUAGGCGACGAUCCCUAGCUGGUCUGAGAGGAUGACCAGCCACACUGGAACUGAGACACGGUCCAGACUCCUACGGGAGGAAGCAGUGGGGAAUAUUGCACAAUGGGCGCAAGCCUGAUGCAGCCAUGCCGCGUGUAUGAAGAAGGCCUUCGGGUUGUAAAGUACUUUCAGCGGGGAGGCGGUACCCGAAGAAAAAGCACCGGCUAACUCCGUGCCAGCCGCCGCGGUAAUUC
rnacentral:rRNA from 1 species